UGACGUCACGGCGACGCAACGAAGGCUGUCCGAAUUCAAAGAGUACUCAAAAUGUAGCGACAAAUGCGUCCUACUUUGCCCUGAAUUCUAAGGAUGGUCUGAUGUAUCCUUCAUGUCCUACUAUAUCCCAGGAUUCAUUGCGGGUCAUAGAGGAGAUUUGUUUCUGAUAACGAUGGUGGUCGAAGCAGGAGAGGAAAACACUUUCAAAUGACAAUUCUGGAGAAGAUGGGCCUGCAGGGGAAAGUCACCCCCUUGCAGGCCAGAAGACAUGAGAUAACUUUAAAGAAGACAAAGAUUGCAAGUAUCCAGGCUCAGGAGAGGGGGUCAGUGGGAAGCCCACUGCUGC
ensembl:lncRNA